AACGAACGCUGGCGGCAGGCUUAACACAUGCAAGUCGAGCGCAUCCUUCGGGGUGAGCGGCGGACGGGUGAGUAACGCGUGGGAACGUGCCCUCUUCUACGGAAUAGCCUCGGGAAACUGAGAGUAAUGCCGUAUACGCCCGCAAGGGGAAAGAUUUAUCGGAGGAGGAUCGGCCCGCGUUGGAUUAGGUAGUUGGUGGGGUAACGGCCUACCAAGCCGACGAUCCAUAGCUGGUUUGAGAGGAUGAUCAGCCACACUGGGACUGAGACACGGCCCAGACCCCUCCGGGAGGCGGCAGGGGGGAUUCUUGGAAAAGGGGGGAAACCCUGAUCCGCCCUGGCCGGGGGAUCGAGGAAGGCCUUGGGGUUGAAAAGUUCUUUCAGCGGGGAGAAAAAGACCGGUACCAGCAAAAGAAGCCCCGCCUACCCCCGU
rnacentral:rRNA from 1 species